rnacentral:rRNA from 1 species
GCGCCCUCGCGGCCGGGCUGGGGACGAUGGGGCCUCCCUCGGGCGGCCCCCGCAGUCCCGGGGCGUCUCACGCCACUCGCGCUCGUCGCGAGAGGCCGAGGCGCACCGAGAGCGCGCGCGUCGGGACCCGAAAGAUGGUGAACUAUGCCUGGCCAGGACGAAGUCAGGGGAAACCCUGAUGGAGGUCCGUAGCGAUUCUGACGUGCAAAUCGAUCGUCAGAGCUGGGUAUAGGGGCGAAAGACUAAUCGAACCAUCUAGUAGCUGGUUCCCUCCGAAGUUUCCCUCAGGAUAGCUGGCGCUCGGAGGUUUCGGAUCCCAUCCGGUAAAGCGAAUGAUUAGAGGCCUUGGGAUCGAAACGAUUUCAACCUAUUCUCAAACUUUAAAUGGGUGGGAACCGCGGCCUGCUCGAUGGGUGAGGCCGCGGACCCCGGACCAGAGUGCCCAGUGGGCCACUUUUGGUAAGCAGAACUGGCGCUGUGGGAUGAACCAAACGCCGGGUUAAGGCGCCCAAACGACGCUCAUCCGAUACCAUGAAAGGUGUUGGUUGCUUAAGACAGCAGGACGGUGGCCAUGGAAGUCGGAAUCCGCUAAGGAGUGUGUAACAACUCACCUGCCGAAGCAACUAGCCCUGAAAAUGGAUGGCGCUGAAGCGUCGUGCCUAUACCCGGCCGCCGGCGGCAGAGGGCCUCCGCCUUCGGGCGGCGGCCGCGAAGCCCCGGUGAGUAGGAGGGUCGCCGCGGUGAGCGCAGAAGGGUCUGGGCGCAAGCCUGCCUGGAGCCGCCGCGGGUGCAGAUCUUGGUGGUAGUAGCAAAUACUCCAGCGAGGGCCUGGAGGACCGAUGUGGAGAAGGGUUCCGUGUGAACAGCCGUUGCACACGGGUCAGUCGAUCCUAAGCCCUAGGCGAAAGCCGAUGAUGAUGGUCGCGGGAAGUCCCUGUGCUUCAGGGGCGCCGCCGUGCCGCCGCGCGAGCCUUCGCGAGACGUAGUAGUCCUCCCCCGGGGGGGCGAACGGUCGCGCGUCGUAGUAGCGCGGGGGCCCGCUACCGACGAAAGCGAGGCCCGCCGCCGCGGAGAGUCGUGCCCACGGGCCGACCUCUCAUAACGCGGCGCGCGGAGUAGUAGCGAGUAGGAAGGUGGCGGCGCGCGCGCGCCCCGCACGGUUCAGCACCCCGUCCGUCGGGCGAAAGGGAAUCCGGUUCCUAUUCCGGAACCCGGUCGCGGGACCGUCCUCUCGAUUCUCGUAUUGACGCGGUAACGCGAAGGACCCCAGAGAUGCCGUCUGGAGCCCGGGGAAGAGUUUUCUUUUCUGUUUGAGCGUUCGGGUUCCAUGGAAUCCUCUCGUAGGGAGAUAUGGAAUGGAGCGCGAAGAGCACCGCAGUUGCUGCGGUGUCCCGGGAGUCCCGUCGGCCCUUGAAAAUCUGGGUGAGGAUCACGUGGAGGCGCCGCACCGGCUCGUACCCAUAUCCGCAGCA